UACAGAGGGGGCAAGCGUUGUUCGGAUUACUGGGCGUAAAGGGCGCGUAGGUGGCCUUCUAAGUUGAACGUGAAAUCCCUGGGCUCAACCCAGGAACUGCGUCCAAGACUGGGAGGCUUGAAUCUGGGAGAGGGAUGCGGAAUUCCAGGUGUAGCGGUGAAAUGCGUAGAUAUCUGGAGGAACGCCGGUGGCGAAGGCGGCAUCCUGGACCGGUAUUGACACUGAGGCGCGAAAGCCAGGGGAGCAAACGGG
rnacentral:rRNA from 1 species